rnacentral:rRNA from 1 species
GUGCCAGCAGCCGCGGUAAUACGGAGGAUCCAAGCGUUAUCCGGAAUCAUUGGGUUUAAAGGGUCCGUAGGCGGUCAGGUAAGUCAGUGGUGAAAGCCCAUCGCUCAACGGUGGAACGGCCAUUGAUACUGUCUGACUUGAAUUAUUAGGAAGUAACUAGAAUAUGUAGUGUAGCGGUGAAAUGCUUAGAGAUUACAUGGAAUACCAAUUGCGAAGGCAGGUUACUACUAAUAUAUUGACGCUGAUGGACGAAAGCGUGGGUAGCGAACAGGAUUANAUACCCUGGUAGUCCACGCCGUAAACGAUGGAUACUAGCUGUUGGGANCAAUCUCANNGGCUAANCGAAAGUGAUAAGUAUCCCACCNGGGGAGUACGUUCNNAAGAAUGAAACUC